rnacentral:rRNA from 1 species
AGUAAAAGUGGUAACAAGGUUUCCGUAGGUGAACCUGCGGAAGGAUCAUUACCGAGUUAGGGUCCCUCCCACGGGGCCCGACCUCCCAACCCCGUGUCUAAUAAACCUGUACGUGUUGCUUCGGCGGACCGGUUCGCUGCGAGGUCUCGCGACCACAACGCCUGCCGCCGGGGGUAAAGGAGUUCACCCUCCCCCCCUGGAGAGCGUCCGUCGAUGGCCCAACCAAACAAACUCCCAAACCAAAAUGUAUGUGAAACACAAUUCUGAAUCAGACCUUUUGAUAUACCAAUCAAAAACAAAACUUUCAACAACGGAUCUCUUGGUUCUGGCAUCGAUGAAGAACGCAGCGAAAUGCGAUAAGUAAUGCGAAUUGCAGAAUUUCCGUGAGUCAUCGAAUCUUUGAACGCACAUUGCGCCCUUUGGCAUUCCGAAGGGCAUGCCUGUUCGAGCGUCAUUAUCCUCCCUCCAAAACCCCUGCUUUACCGCGGGGGUUUCGGGUGUUGGACCGCGUUGGACCGUUCGCGGCCAACUGGUCUCAAAGACAAUGACGGGCGUCCAUGGGACCCUCUUCGCACUGAGCUUUCCGGAGCACGCGUCGAGUUGCAAGGUCUUGUGGGCCCGGCCACCUCUAAAUCUAUUUUUUCAGGUUGACCUCGGAUCAGGUAGGAAUACCCGCUGAACUUAAGCAUAUCAAUAAGCGGAGGAAAAGAAACCAACAGGGAUUGCCCCAGUAACG